AUGAACGCUAGCGGCAGGCUUAAUACAUGCAAGUUGAGGGGCAGCAUGAUAUACGCGAGUAUAUUGAUGGCGACCGGCGGACGGGUGAGUAAUAGGUAGGAGACCCUACCUCAUACAGGGGGAUAGCAUAGAGAAAUCUGUGGUAAUACCCCAUGAGGUUAUAUGAAUAGGAGGCAUAUAAUCAAAGCAUAAGCGAUUAUGCGGUAUGAGAGGGGCCUACUGACCAUUAGCUAGUUGGUGAGGUAAGGGCUCACCAAGGCGAAGAUGGUUAGGGGUUUUGAGAGAGAGACCCCCCACAUUGGAACUGAGAGACGGUCCAGACUCCUACGGGAGGCAGCAGUAGGGAAUAUUGGGCAAUGGGCGAAAGCCUGACCCAGCCAUGCCGCGUGAAGGAAGACGGCCUUAUGGGUUGUAAACUUCUUUACUACGCGAAUAGAGGUUAGUACGAGAUACUAAUAGGAAGGUAGUGUAGUAAAAAGCACCGGCUAACUCCGUG
rnacentral:rRNA from 1 species